GAUGAACGCUGGCGGCGUGCCUAAUACAUGCAAGUCGAGCGAACAGAUAAGGAGCUUGCUCCUUUGACGUUAGCGGCGGACGGGUGAGUAACACGUGGGUAACCUACCUAUAAGACUGGGAUAACUUCGGGAAACCGGAGCUAAUACCGGAUAACAUUUGGAACCGCAUGGUUCUAAAGUGAAAGAUGGUUUUGCUAUCACUUAUAGAUGGACCCGCGCCGUAUUAGCUAGUUGGUAAGGUAACGGCUUACCAAGGCGACGAUACGUAGCCGACCUGAGAGGGUGAUCGGCCACACUGGACCUGAGACACGGUCCAGACUCCUACGGGAGGCAGCAGUAGGGAAUCUUACGCAAUGGGCGAAAGCCUGACGGAGCAACGCCGCGUGAGUGAUGAAGGGUUUCGGCUCGUAAAACUCUGUUAUUAGGGAAGAACAAAUGUGUAAGUAACUGUGCACGUCUUGACGGUACCUAAUCAGAAAGCCACGGCUAACUACGUG
rnacentral:rRNA from 1 species